GAUGAACGCUGGCGGCGUGCCUAAUACAUGCAAGUCGAGCGAACAGACGAGGAGCUUGCACCUCUGACGUUAGCGGCGGACGGGUGAGUAACACGUGGAUAACCCACCUAUAAGACUGGGAUAACUUCGGGAAACCGGAGCUAAUACCGGAUAAUAUAUUGAACCGCAUGGUUCAAUAGUGAAAGACGGUUUUGCUGUCACUUAUAGAUGGAUCCGCGCCGCAUUAGCUAGUUGGUAAGGUAACGGCUUACCAAGGCAACGAUGCGUAGCCGACCUGAGAGGGUGAUCGGCCACACUGGAACUGAGACACGGUCCAGACUCCUACGGGAGGCAGCAGUAGGGAAUCUUCCGCAAUGGGCGAAAGCCUGACGGAGCAACGCCGCGUGAGUGAUGAAGGUCUUCGGAUCGUAAAACUCUGUUAUUAGGGAAGAACAAAUGUGUAAGUAACUAUGCACGUCUUGACGGUACCUAAUCAGAAAGCCACAGCUAACUACGUG
rnacentral:rRNA from 1 species